GGACAUUCCAAGUGAUGCAACACUUUUGGUGCCAUGUAAUAUAGGCUUCCAUUGGAUUCUGACAGUUAUCAACAUCACUAAGGACUUAGUUUAUGUGUGGGACCCUCUUAAUCAUCGCAUUCGCGAUGAUGAUUGGAAGCGUGUUGUAGAAAUGGCUAUUAAAAUGGUUCAUGCAUCCACUACGAAUGCAAAGAAAGGACGCAGUAA